rnacentral:rRNA from 1 species
UACGAAGGGAGCGAGCGUUGUUCGGAAUCACUGGGCUUAAAGCGUGCGUAGGUGGAUUGGUAAGUAAGGAGUGAAAGCCCCGGGCUCAACCUGGGAAUUGCAUUUGAGGCUGCGUAGCUAGGGUGCGGAAGAGGGAAGCGGAAUUUCCGGUGUAGCGGUGAAAUGCGUAGAUAUCGGAAGGAACACCAGUGGCGAAAGCGGCUUCCUGGUCCAGCACCGACGUUCAGGCACGAAAGCGUGGGGAGCAAACAGG